rnacentral:sRNA from 1 species
CCGCUGCAGGGGCGGGCGGAGGCCGCCGCACUGCCUCCCGAACCGGGGACCCAGGCCAGCGUCCGGGCAACGCCCCCUGCUCCCGGACAGACUCCGUGGCCCGCCCGAGCCCUGGGGGCUCCGCAGACCCGCGCCCGCUCCGCCCGCAGCUCGGCCCCGCGCUGCCCGCGUCGCCGGGCCCGCGCCGGGAUGGGGUAGGGACAGCGCCACCGAGUCGGGCGAUGGGCCGCCCUCUGGGCACCGAGCAGCCCCCGGAGGCCUGACCAACCGCGAGGACCGGCGGAGGAGCCCCGCCUGGAUGUCAAGCGGAUGCCACAGGGCCCCCCCCAGCGGACUCCGUGGGGACAUGGCUUCGCUGGUGCCCCUUUCCCCAUAUCUAAGCCCCACGGUCCUUCUGCUGGUCAGCUGUGACCUGGGCUUCGUGCGAGCAGGUAAGUAAAGGGGAACGGGGCUGAGGAUCAACCACAGCUAGUAAAUGGGUGAAACCUGUUAAACACCCUGGCUCCCGCAGACCGGCCUCCCUCUCCUGUGAAUGUGACGGUCACUCACCUCAGAGCCAACUCGGCCACUGUGUCCUGGGACGUCCCAGAAGGCAACAUCGUCAUUGGCUACUCCAUUUCCCAGCAAGUAUGAAUCACCCUUCUGCUUCCCCCAGCCUGUGUCCUUGGAUUUCUGCACAUUUCUUCACUUAAGUGGGGGGGAUCUGGAAGCUGGCGUAUCCUGGCUCAGGCUGCCCUUUUCACGCUACUCCCCCGGAGUGCUUGGAUGUUGAAGAGUCUCUGGUUGAGCCUUGUGGCCUGGCACUGGGGUGAGGCUGUCCUCCUCUCCCCUCAUCUCUCUGCAGCGGCAGAAUGGCCCCGGGCAGCGUGUGAUUCGGGAGGUGAACACCACCACCCGGGCCUGUGCCCUCUGGGGCCUGGCUGAAGACAGUGACUACACAGUGCAGGUCAGGAGCAUCGGCCUUCGGGGAGAGAGUCCCCCAGGGCCUCGGGUGCACUUCCGAACUCUCAAGGGUUCUGACCGGCUACCUUCAAACAGCUCAAGCCCAGGUGACAUCACAGUGGAAGGUCUGGAUGGAGAGCGGCCACUGCAGACUGGGGAAGUGGUCAUCAUUGUGGUGGUGUUGCUCAUGUGGGCUGAAAAAGUCUCCAUCUAUCAACACCAUCGAUGUUUGAGUGAAGAAACACACCCAGAAGAGAGAUGCACUAACAACUGGGGAUGGGGAUGGGGUCAGGGAGAGCCCAAGAUGGUGAUCUGCCCGAGACUCCCAGAGGGUAAUGCCACUCCCACAAUCUCAGGCCUGGUACCCAUCCUCUUUCCACUGUGAGCAGAGCCAGAAGGUAGGUCUGUUCAGAGUCUGUGCCCCUGGACCUGGGGAGUGGAUAUCAGAUGGGAUAUCUCCUUCCAUUCCGCGGUCCAGGGGAGAGUCACUUGUUGUACCCUACUCCAUUAGGUCCCAAAUGGGGGCCCCAUUUCACCUGUAUCAGGACUCUGAGCAUCCCCAGCUGCCCCACAUCUUGCCUCUGGGCCUCAGAGAGGGGUGUUUCUGUGGGUACUCCUCUUACCCCAGCAAAUAAAAGGAAUUGUCUGACCCUAGAGGCAGAUGCUGCACUGCACUACUCCAAUGUCUUCCAUGGAGCCUCAGGUGCUCCCCCUCUCACCUGGCAGCCCCUUCAGCUGCUAGUGAUCUCACUCGUUGGACAUUUUUCCAAUAAAG